rnacentral:rRNA from 1 species
UACGAAGGGGGCUAGCGUUGUUCGGAAUCACUGGGCGUAAAGGGCGCGUAGGCGGCUAAUCAAGUCGGGGGUGAAAGCCUGUGGCUCAACCACAGAAUUGCCUUCGAUACUGUUUGGCUUGAGACCGGAAGAGGACAGCGGAACUGCGAGUGUAGAGGUGAAAUUCGUAGAUAUUCGCAAGAACACCAGUGGCGAAGGCGGCUGUCUGGUCCGGUUCUGACGCUGAGGCGCGAAAGCGUGGGGAGCAAACAGG